rnacentral:rRNA from 1 species
AUUGAACGCUGGCGGCAGGCCUAACACAUGCAAGUCGAGCGGUAGAGAGGUGCUUGCAUCUCUUGAGAGCGGCGGACGGGUGAGUAAUGCCUAGGAAUCUGCCUAGUGGUGGGGGAUAACGUUCGGAAACGGACGCUAAUACCGCAUACGUCCUACGGGAGAAAGCGGGGGAUCUUCGGACCUCGCGCCAUUAGAUGAGCCUAGGUCGGAUUAGCUAGUUGGUGAGGUAAUGGCUCACCAAGGCGACGAUCCGUAACUGGUCUGAGAGGAUGAUCAGUCACACUGGAACUGAGACACGGUCCAGACUCCUACGGGAGGCAGCAGUGGGGAAUAUUGGACAAUGGGCGAAAGCCUGAUCCAGCCAUGCCGCGUGUGUGAAGAAGGUCUUCGGAUUGUAAAGCACUUUAAGUUGGGAGGAAGGGUAGGUAACCUAAUACGUUGCUACUUUGACGUUACCGACAGAAUAAGCACCGGCUAACUUCGUGCCAGCAC